GCUGAACUGCAACGUUGGUGACUGCCAAUAGUGUUUUAUGAUCUAUGCCUUAAUUUAUAAGGGAAUCGUAGAGUUCUAGUGGCCGUAAACCGGACAUUGUAUCCGGAAACGUAAAGCUAUGAGCCGCGAUGCCCACCUGGUUUUUCCAGGUCAGAAGCUGAGGUAAGACGGCGUUGCGGUCAGCC
rnacentral:other from 1 species